rnacentral:siRNA from 1 species
UCAACUGCGGAUGAAAUGCGAUGC